rnacentral:rRNA from 1 species
UACAGAGGUCCCGAGCGUUGUUCGGAUUCAUUGGGCGUAAGGGGUGCGUAGGCGGCGGGGCAAGUCUGAUGUGAAAUCCCGGGGCUCAACCCCGGAACUGCAUUGGAUACUGCCUUGCUUGAGUACUGGAGAGGAGACUGGAAUUUACGGUGUAGCAGUGAAAUGCGUAGAUAUCGUAAGGAAGGCCAGUGGCGAAGGCGAGUCUCUGGACAGUUACUGACGCUGAGGCACGAAGGCCAGGGGAGCAAACGGG